UUCAUUGCGAAGUGGAAUCUGAAAAGGAGUCGGACAUAAACACUCGCAUCGACGAACAGAAUCAUCAUAAUAAGGACACAUAAAACGGAUGAGUUUGCUAAACAAGACGAAGUCGAAUACUACUCGAACUUUAUAUGAAAAAUAUGGAUGAAGUAGAAACAUUUGUUGAU
rnacentral:ncRNA from 1 species